rnacentral:sRNA from 1 species
AUCAGAGGCGUCUGGCAUCUAACUCGUGGCUACGAUCUUUGCCAUAACGGUGAAGCGGUCGUUCUGGAAGGCCCCAUAUCCCCACCUUUAUGAACAU